ensembl:lncRNA
AGAAUUCAGCGGGCUGGCAGCCUGGCCACGGCCGUGCCCGGCCAGGGCCGAGCUCCGAGGACGCUCCCCGCCGCGCUGGCUGCGCUUGGAAUGAGCCCGGUGAGGGCGAACUGGCUCGGCGCUUCCUUGGCAAAGCUUGUAGUUCGUCUCGCAGUUCUUGAGUGGCAGAAAUAAACUCUAUUUCUCUAUAAGGAAAGAUAUUAUCGGAGGAGGUAAUGGAAUGCUUUGAAUUUACCCCAAGUUCUGAAGCUGUGAACAUUUGUUUUCUUUCACAGUGCCCUCCUAAUCCGCUCCCAAAGUUGCUGCUGUUGGGGUGGCUGGAAUUUCCUCGUGUAACUGAUAUAAAAGAAUACACCAACAUUAAGGACAACACAGUCUCAGUUAAGAAGCCAGUCUUCAGCGAACCAGAAACCUUCAGCUUGGUACAAACAGCCAGAAAUUCAAAAGAGCAGAAGUUCAACAGUUCCCUCAACUGAAGGGACCCACUACAGAGGUCAGUUUUAGUAAUUCAGUAAUUCCCACCCCCCACCCAUGAAAAAACAGAAAUCAUCCCACCUUGCUCCCAACGUCCAUCCAAACUAACAGCAGCUCUGUUAGUCCUGCAGCGAGCAAAAUCCAUUGUGUUGCCACAUGACCUUCAAGUUAAGAACUAUCAGUCACACAGCCCCUCCUGGUGCUUCCCCCCCCCCCCCCCCCCCCCCCGCCAAUUCAUUUUGCUGAUGCUCUUUGCUCUUAAAUGAAGCAAUUCACCCAGAAUUUUAACAGUAAAAUAUUUUUAGCAGAAUAUUUUAAGAAGCAAUUAAAUUUUCAGGAUUUUUUCCCUUCCAGCUACAGCAGAACAAUGAAGAAAUCUUUCAGUACUGGCCUGAAAAAACAGAACUGCUCAUUUUUAAUCAGUGGUCACACUGAACACUGAGAAGAUUCACAGGUACAGGUGUCUGUGAGAGACCUGCAAUUUUUAACAGCUGAAAUCUUGACUGGCAACCUAGUUUAGUUAAAGGCACAACUAUGAUUAAUAACAGACAAAAACCUGCUUAAACCAUGUACUCUGAUGUGUGCACUUUUCAAAAGCCUCAUUCACAGGAAAAUCCCAUGGCUAGGAACUAUUAAUAGGGCAGUUUCAAAUGAGAUACAAUUCAGUUACAACACAACAGUACUAGCAAUAUUUCUAUAAAUUUUGAAAUGCUUUUAAUAUGUACAUUCUUUCUUAGUAAAUAUUAAAGGUAGUGCUCUUCACUUGCACUUUUUUCUUUAGACUUUUAAAAGGGCAUCAGAAAUACAGUUUUCACCCCCCUCCAAACCAAUGCACAGUUACCUUUGUAACAAGCACACAUGAAUUCUGUACACCUUUCCCUCCCCACAAAAGAAAUAAAAAUAUGCCAUGACUAUCCAAUUACACAUCAUCACAAGUUUAAAUUACACAUACAAAUAAUUCCAGAGUAUUUAGAAAAAAACAACAUAUUGGAUUUAUGAAACCAUUCCAUGCAUUCAACAACAACAGAAAAAAAAAACCCAAAGAAAAAAGAAAAAAAAAAUGAUUUAAGUUUCUUUAAAUGGUGUUUUUUGCUCUAUCCAAGUACCAAAGCCUGGAUUCAGUGUAUCAUUAAGACUAACCACUGCUUGAAUCAUAGAAACAUGACAGUACAUAGAUAACCAAGUUUCUAUUUAUAGACAAUAUGAUAUAGUUACUACCUCUUUAAUGAAUGUCAAAUAAAGCAAGUUUUGCUUUCUAAGACAUUGAAACUGCACAUGAAGAAAACAGUAAGAGGUGCUGCUAAAUAGGUAACAACAUUUUGAAAGGAAGGCUAUGUAUUUAAUAUGACCCUGCUUCCCAGUAGCAGUUAGUUAGCAGGGUUCCUAUGUUUUAGCUAGUUUGUUUCUUUUUCCAGAAUGACAAGCUAUUUGACUAACCCAGAAAUAUCACCAAUUUCAUUUUUAAGAGAAAAAAAAAAGAAUUUAUGCAGUGAAAGUCCUUGGGGGCAGUCUCUUUCAUUACAUAAAAUCUUUGUAUUUUCUAUGAAGAGGCUCUUAGCAUAACACACAGGUUGAAAACAGAUUUCGGACAUACAUUAAAAACCUGAAUUCAAAGGUUAUUUUUCAACCUUUACUAUGAAGACAAGUAAAAUUAUAAUAUUAUUUACAUGCAAAGGACUCUGCAUGAUUUCAUAAUAUCCUAUUUUCCAUGUUUACCUCCAGAUACUCAUUGAAAAGCUGUAGUUCAGUUCUAAAUUUAUUUUACAUGAAUCAUGACAAAUAUCACUCUGAAACAUUACUCCCUCCCAGUAAAUAAAUCAAUACUGUCAAUAUGCUCAAUUUAUUUUAACAAAUCAAUUUAGAGUGUCACAUUCCUGAUAUACAGGAGUUAAUACCUGUGCAAGUUAGUACCCAUUUAUUACGAAAGCUCUCCAUUAGCAGGCGCAUUUUCAGUACAAUUAAACCCAGCUUGCUGCAUUAUCUGCUCUUGCUUUGCAAUAGUGUCCAACUGCAGUUGAGUACAGUAAGAGCAUGAUUGUUGAUGAGUACCACGGGUUAUAGCUGUUAACAAUUCUGUUUGUGCCACAAAACCGGAAGUCAAUCAUUUGAAAAGAAUCCUGACUCUUUAACUGAACUUACCAGGUGAUGUUAAUUACCAUCCUUAUCAAACCAAUUUUCAUAAAGGCUAUUUACAGUGUACAUGGCUGAGCAUGUACCUUACAGACACAAACACAUCUCCAGUUCAAUACCACGUCAUUACAGUGCCUGAAAAUGACAACACAUCUUCAAUGCCAUUUCAAUUAACAGUUUCAAGUGGGAAAUGGUCUUUAUUUUACAACUGCUUUACUUGCAUAAUUUUUUUUUUUUAAUAUAAAAACACUAACUCCUGUCCAGAAGUCUAGACACAUUCGACAUACUACAGGUUAAGGCAGUAAAAAAAUGUGUUCCUGAUAACUGUUUUUGACAAUGUCAAUUAAAGCUGUCUGAAGCUACUCCAGUUCUCCAACAUAUCUCUGAAAUCCAAAUAAUUUAUGAGUGAAAAAAUCACUUUGCUUUGUUCAGAGUUUUAGUAAUACAGACAACAGAAUUGGGUAUGGCAAGUUAACAAGUGUUAGGGGAAGGAAAUGUUUAAUUUUAGUUCAUUCCAUGAGUUUAGAAGUUGAAAGAAUACAGGUUUUAGAUAGGAUUCUGAAUCAACCAAGAACCGUAGGGAAUGAAGAAGCAAACCAAUUUUAUGCACAUUACUGCAUUCUUAAAAAUAUACUGUUAUCUUCAAUAAUUCAAGUAAGGUAAUAGACAUUAUAAAAAAUAACUUCAUGAACCAUACUCAAGUCUCAAAUCACAUUCUCAAACUUUUAACCCAAAGCAGUUUUAUUGUGUUAACUUCAUAUAAUAAACCGUGAAGGUCUGACUGUACAAAUGGUUAAUGAUUUGCACUUGUGAUUCCUGCAAUAGCUAGCAGAUUUGCUAACCAAUUUACUGUAAAGAUAUGGCAGAUUAUGUAUUUAAUCAAAGCACUUUGAUUUAGGCAUGAAACAAAUUCAAAUGGUUGACAUUCUGUGCUUCUAAUGCAUCACUCAUAAGAGAGGCAAGAAACACCCACUAUUGUACAGACGAUUAUUUUUACAGAAAACCCUUCCUUGAAAUUAAUCUUUUAUCUGCAGCUGUAGAUGAGAGUAUAAUCUGUUGUAAACAGGGCACUGUGUUGUAAAACCAGUUUUUUUUAAAUUAAGAUCUCUCUCCAAAAGUUGGAAAAACAGACUCUUCAGAAUGUCUUUCAAAUGUAGCAUGUUCAGUUUGCUAUAUCAUAAAGUUACUUUCAUUUGAUUCCUUUUUAAAGAUGUUUGUGUUCACAGCAGUUCUGUUUUUAAAAAUUGUUUGAAAUUUAUAUAAAAUUCUGUACAUGUUCACAAAUUAUUGCAUAAACAGCAUAAUCUUCAUGACAAUAUUCAGCAAC